rnacentral:rRNA from 1 species
UACGAGGGGGGCAAAUGUUGUUCGGAAUCACUGGGCGUAAAGGGUGCGUAGGUGGCGCCGUAAGUCGGGUGUGAAAUUUCGGAGCUUAACUCCGAAACUGCAUUCGAUACUGCGGUGCUUGAGGACUGGAGAGGAGACUGGAAUUUACGGUGUAGCAGUGAAAUGCGUAGAUAUCGUAAGGAAGACCAGUGGCGAAGGCGGGUCUCUGGACAGUUCCUGACACUGAGGCACGAAGGCCAGGGGAGCAAGCGGG